UCGCUUCGGCGGGUCGAU
rnacentral:snRNA from 1 species